rnacentral:rRNA from 1 species
CGAGGGGCAGCAUGGUCUUAGCUUGCUAAGACUGAUGGCGACCGGCGCACGGGUGAGUAACACGUAUCCAACCUGCCGUCUACUCUUGGACAGCCUUCUGAAAGGAAGAUUAAUACAAGAUGGCAUCAUGAGUCCGCAUGUUCACAUGAUUAAAGGUAUUCCGGUAGACGAUGGGGAUGCGUUCCAUUAGAUAGUAGGCGGGGUAACGGCCCACCUAGUCUUCGAUGGAUAGGGGUUCUGAGAGGAAGGUCCCCCACAUUGGAACUGAGACACGGUCCAAACUCCUACGGGAGGCAGCAGUGAGGAAUAUUGGUCAAUGGGCGAGAGCCUGAACCAGCCAAGUAGCGUGAAGGAUGACUGCCCUAUGGGUUGUAAACUUCUUUUAUAAAGGAAUAAAGUCGGGUAUGUAUACCCGUUUGCAUGUACUUUAUGAAUAAGGAUCGGCUAACUCCGUGCCAGCAGCCGCGGUAAUACGGAGGAUCCGAGCGUUAUCCGGAUUUAUUGGGUUUAAAGGGAGCGUAGAUGGAUGUUUAAGUCAGUUGUGAAAGUUUGCGGCUCAACCGUAAAAUUGCAGUUGAUACUGGAUAUCUUGAGUGCAGUUGAGGCAGGCGGAAUUCGUGGUGUAGCGGUGAAAUGCUUAGAUAUCACGAAGAACUCCGAUUGCGAAGGCAGCCUGCUAAGCUGCCACUGACAUUGAGGC